AUUGAACGCUGGCGGCAGGCCUAACACAUGCAAGUCGAACGGUAACAGGAAGCAGCUUGCUGCUUUGCUGACGAGUGGCGGACGGGUGAGUAAUGUCUGGGAAACUGCCUGAUGGAGGGGGAUAACUACUGGAAACGGUAGCUAAUACCGCAUAACGUCGCAAGACCAAAGAGGGGGACCUUCGGGCCUCUUGCCAUCGGAUGUGCCCAGAUGGGAUUAGCUAGUAGGUGGGGUAACGGCUCACCUAGGCGACGAUCCCUAGCUGGUCUGAGAGGAUGACCAGCCACACUGGAACUGAGACACGGUCCAGACUCCUACGGGAGGCAGCAGUGGGGAAUAUUGCACAAUGGGCGCAAGCCUGAUGCAGCCAUGCCGCGUGUAUGAAGAAGGCCUUCGGGUUGUAAAGUACUUUCAGCGGGGAGGAAGGCGACAGGGUUAAUAACCCUGUCCGAUUGACGUUACCCGCANAAGAAGCACCGGCUAACUCCGUGCCAGCAGCCGCGGUAAUACGGAGGGUGCAAGCGUUAAUCGGAAUUACUGGGCCGUAAAGCCNACNCAGCCGGGUCUUUUCA
rnacentral:rRNA from 1 species